rnacentral:rRNA from 1 species
GACGAACGCUGGCGGCGUGCUUAACACAUGCAAGUCGAACGGAAAGGCCCUGCUUUUGUGGGGUGCUCGAGUGGCGAACGGGUGAGUAACACGUGAGUAACCUGCCCUUGACUUUGGGAUAACUUCAGGAAACUGGGGCUAAUACCGGAUAGGAGCUCCUGCUGCAUGGUGGGGGUUGGAAAGUUUCGGCGGUUGGGGAUGGACUCGCGGCUUAUCAGCUUGUUGGUGGGGUAGUGGCUUACCAAGGCUUUGACGGGUAGCCGGCCUGAGAGGGUGACCGGCCACAUUGGGACUGAGAGACGGCCCAGACUGCUACGGGAGGCAGCAGUGGGGAAUAUUGCACAAUGGGCGGAAGCCGGAUGCAGCAGCGCCGCGUGCGGGAUGACGGCCUUCGGGUUGUAAACCGCUUUCGCCUGUGACGAAGCGUGAGUGACGGUAAUGAGUAAAGAAGCACCGGCUAACUACGUG